rnacentral:lncRNA from 1 species
CCUCCCCCAGAUGGCAGGAUGACCAGUAGAUGUUAAAUACAUUAAAAUAUAAAUUAGAUACACAAUAAGCAGACCGUUAUUUUGCUGAGGUACUGCAUUUCAAAAAUGAAAGUAUUCAUUGUAAAUGCUCCGGAUCAUACAGACUUGGAGCUACUACAAGGGGAUCUUUGAGGUAAGUUAGCUCUACCACUUCAGCACUUUUAUGGAAGCCCUAAAAGGUUAAGGGAUUUUAGCUAAGGAAGUAAAUAGAUUCAAUUCCAAGUACUUUGAUAUCAAACAUAAGUUCUUUCCCGAGCCGCAAGCUGCAGUGGCAUUUUAAUUUUCCUGCACUAAAACGAAAAAGGCUCUUCUCUUGGGGGCAAGCACAAGCAGGAAGAGGCCCGUCAGUAUUCCAAUCUGUAAAACGGGAGUACGGAUAAUCGCAUGGCUCAUCUCACUGAGAGGAAGGCUCUCACACACGCUAAACGGCCAAGGCCAGCGUUUCAGGUUCGCAAGUUCACCAAUCCAGGCGUGGAAAGGUUCUCAGAGGCUGCCUCGCUGCUCUGGCUGUACAGACUGGGGAGCUGAGCCCGGAGCGUGCCCAAGGACAAACCGGGCACUGCCGGCUCAGACUCCAGGCAGUCUCUGCCAUUCCGCAGGCCUCCCCGCUUUCUUCCCCCUUUGAAUCGCGCGCCCCGCGGCGCUCCGCAGCGCCGCUUUCUCGUUUUGGAUGAGAAGCCCGAGCCCAGAGCGGGGAAGGGCCUUCAGGAAGAGACAACUUCGAUACACUGUUCGAAAUGUGACUUGGGAGACUCUAUCGGCAGGUUGCGGCAGCAGGCAGGGCCGGCCCGGCCUCUCACUUCUAACGCCCGGCUCGUUGCCCCCCGCUCGGGAUUUUCGGUGAGGGUGCCAGACCCAUCGCGCCCAAGGACUCCAGACCCGUUCGGGAAGCGCGCCUAUCCCACGGCACUCUCUCGCUGCGCCCCUCCCCCAUUAAAAAAAAAAAAAAAAAAAACAACAAGUCGCCGCACGUGUAUCUGUAUUGUUAGGGUCCCUUAAAGGGCCAGCAGUAGCCUGCCCGCUAGGCGACUCCCGGCCGCCGGCGCCGCGAGCGCACACCCAGGGAGGACGCGCGUCCCCUCCCCCACACCAUGGGGCCCCGCGCCGCGGCGGCGGCGGCCCAUCCAUCCCUCCUUCCCCCGCCGGGCCCGCGGCGCGGACCGCGCAGCGCGGGAGGGGAGAGGGCCCCUCCCCGCCCGGCCCCGGCCCCCGGCGGCGGCCCGGGAGGCGCGCGGGCCGGGCCGGUCGGGCGCGCGCGGCAGGCGGCGGGGAGCCCGAGCCGCCGCGGCGUGCCGAGGCUUCGCGAGCUCUCGUGACGUCAGAGGGCCGCUCGCCAGCAGAACGUUCCAUUGAGGCGAGCGAGCGCGUGCGGCGGCCCGAGCACAUGGGGAAAACGGGCUGGGACGGGCUGCCUGGCAGACCGGGGCCGGGGGGCCGGGCCCCCGGGACUCGCGGACCCCGCUGCGGAAGGGAUUCUAGCCGCUGUGUGACCUGUGGAUCCGGGGUCGGACUCGCCCUCCAAAGUAAACCUUCAGUCCUACUUCUGGACCACCACUGCCAUACUGCUUCCUUUUGGAUAUCCUUCUCAUCACUGAAACCUUGUACCCUGCUGCAGGACACCUGGCUCUGAUAGGUGAGCUUCUGUCUUAUCACAUCCAGAAAUAGGCCUUCCUUCUCUUUCCUGGCCAUCCACAUGCUGUGGCCCUUUGUUUUCCCUACCCUCUUUGACCCAAUCAUUUAACUUCCUUGUUUACUGUAUCUGAAGAAUGGGGGUAAAAGUAUGACUUUAAAGGCAAAGACUCUCCUACUUUACCUGUAUUUUUAUGCCUAGUUCUGAGUAUAGUACCUGGUACUUAGUAAGCAUUUAAUAAAUGCUCUAUAUAUCUAUCUAUUCAUAUAUCUAUCUGUCGUUUUAGCAGAAACUCUCUAGUGGAGUGCCCAAGGAAUCUAUAUUUGGUCCUGUGCCAUUUAUAUUUUUAUUAAUGAUUUGAAUAAAGGUAUAGGUGCUAUGUUAUCAAAUUUGCAAAUGACAUGGUGCUAGAGGGAGUAUACUAGAGGUUCUGGAUGACAGAAUGAAAUUUCAAAAAGAGCUAAUAGGCUAGAGUGGCCAAAUAUAAUAGAGAUAAAUGAAAAUUCACAUAUUUGGGUCCAAAACCUGAACUUCAGAAGUAAAUAAGGCUCAAAGUAUAAACAUAAGGUGAUUCAGCAGUAUUCUAGAGUCAUUACAAGAGAGGAAUUUCUUGUUUGUUCUUUUUGAAACUUCUAUUCCAUCAUCCCUCUUUAUGGUGACCUGAUCAGAUCACAGUUUGACUGUUGUAUUUCAUUCUGGCCAUCACACCAGAACUAGAGUGUCUGGAUUAAGGCAGCCAAGGAAGGUGAAAGAACUUCUGGUACCAUCAUGUGGAGUUUAUUGAGAGGAACCAGGGAUUUUUAAUCUAGAGAAGGAAAUAGUUAUUGAGAUAAAUAAGAUGAGGAAUAUUUUAGCUCUGUUAAGGCCUCUGAAGGAUUGUCAUGUGGAAGAGGGAUUAGAUGAGACCUGCUUUGUCCCCAGACAGCAAAACUAGAAGCCCUAGAUUAGCACUUUGAAAAAGGCAACUUUCCUAGCCAUCAAUGUUAUCCCCAAAUGGAAUGUGCUGACUCACCAGGAAUCUCCCAUCAAUAGCUAGGUGAUCUUGCCCUGUGAGUCUGUUGUGGUGGAGAUUGUUGUUUCAGGUAUGGUUUGAACUAGGUGAGAAAAAAAAGAAUAUUCUUUUACCUCCAGCCAUACACUUUAAUUGGGUUUCUAUUUUCCAACUUCAGUUUAAUGUUUAAAUAAAAUCAAAAAGGUUGGACUUGGGAGGAGAAGGGAAUAUUUCUGUUUUCUGGCUGAAAAUGAAGUAUGAUAAAAAUGUAGCGGUGCCUUAGAGCUAAUUCCUGGGUAAAGGGCUUUGCACAUAGUAGGUUCUUUUGUUUGAAUGGAGCUCACAGGAGUUAACUUUUUUGCUUGAUGGACCCCUUUGUCAGUCUGAUGAAAUCUCAGAAUCAUGUUUGUAAAUGAAUAAAACACAUAGAUUGUAAAGGAAACCAAUGUUAUUGAAACAUGGUUAUGAAAAUGUUUUCUUUUAAAAAAAAUUCACUGACCUUCAGAUAAAAAGAAAGAACCUUGGCCCUCACUGCUUUGAGCUUAAAGAUGUAAGCUUAGAAAAUACAGAGUCCCAUGAUAGGCUGCUUCUGAAAGGUAUCCUGAAAUAAUUGGGGGGGGGGGGGUUGCACAAAUACCUUACAGACAUUUUAGUAGAGGUUAGUGCUAUCUCACAAAUGCAACAAAUGACUUUUUAAGAAAAGAUAAACCUUCCCUCUCUUCUCCCCCUCCCCCCUUUAAAGAUUGCACUCCUGCCUUUGAGAGAAUCUCUGUCUCAGGAAUUUGGAGGUCAUCUGGUCCAUAUGUUCCCCUCUCCUCCCACCUGAAGCAUGGAAGUCUGACAUCCCCAUUCAGCCUCUGCUGGAAUCCUAUCUCUGGAAGCUGCCCAUUCCAUUCCCUAACUGGAAUAACAAAUUACUAAGGAACAAGUUUUUCCUUAAUGAGCUGAAAUCUUUCCUGAGAACCAUUCUUUCUCUUUUUAUUGGAUUGCCUAGAACUCAUGCACUGGUGCCAUUUGUGUUAGGCAAAAGUUGGGAACAGGCUACUCAAGAUUUGUAGAAUAGCUGAAUUAACUGUAUCCUGUAAACAUAACGGAUUAUUAUUGUGCUAUAAGGAAUAAUGGACACUAGGAAUUCAAAGAGAAAAUUAGAAGGCUUGCAUGAUGGGAUGUAUAGUGAAGAAAGAAGAGAUAAAAAAAAAUAGAAAUGCAUGGUGAAUUACAACUGAGCAAAUGCAAACAUUAUAGGGCCUCAAAGAGUAAAACAUAGUCUCCUUUUCUUGAAGAAAGGGCAAAAUUUUAAGAUGUCAAUGGGAAACACUCAUAUGUAGUUUUGUAUUAACUGUUUUCAGGGAGUACAUUCUAUAGUUUGUUUACAUUGUUGGUUAUGUUUGAAACAUAAUUUAUCCUUUAAAAAAAUUAUCAUUUUAUGUGAUGUUCAACUGUGAUGGACUUCUCUGUUUUCAACAAUAAAGUGAUUCAGGUCAAUUCUAGUAGACUUAUAAUGGGGAGAGCCAACUGCAUCCAGAGAGAGGACUAUAGUGACUGAAUGUGGAUCACUGCCUAGUAUUAUCACCUUUUUUUGUUACUGUUGUUUGCUUGCUUGUUUUUUCUUCAUUUUUUUCCCUCUUUUGAUCUGAUUUUUCUUCUGCAGAAUAGUAAAUAUGAAAGUAUGUUUGGAAAAAUUGCCCAUAUCUGGCCUUUAUUGGAUUGCUGCUUUCUCUAGGGGAGAGGAGAGGGAGAACGAGAAAUCUGGAACAAAAAGGUUUUCGGUGGUGAAUAUUGAAAAUUAUCUUUGCAUAUAUUUUGAAAAAUCAAAAGCUCUUAUAAAUAAAAACAUAAUUAAAAGAUUUAAAAUUAUCAUUAAAAAAUCUUAAGAUAUUUCCAUCUAAUUUGCAUUUUUGUCUGACACAGUAAGCAUUCAUUUAAUGCUUACAGCAUACCAGAUAUUAGAGAGAAGGAUACAUAUUCUCAUAAUCUAAUGGGGCAUAUAACAUGCCAGCAGCAAGGUGUGUGUGUGUAAUAUAUGCAAGAUAAAUCAGAAGUAAGCAACUGAGAGAAGGCAUCAGAAUUAGGAUACACUGUAGAUACUCUUAAGUAGACUUCUUAAAUUACAGUGUGGCUUAUCAGAAAGCACACUGCCCUGGUGUUCCCUUCUGACUCUGACGCUCAUUGUCUAAGUUACGAGUUUUUUGUCCGUAAGAUUAUUAAAUUGGAUUGCCUGAUCUCUAAGCUUCCUUCCAGCCCUGAAAAGUCUGUUAUUUAUAAUCUUGGUAAACAUCGAUUUAGGGAUUGGAGGCAGGGGGGAGGAUUCUUUGAAAAAGUGUUGUGAAGGACUGACUUGAAUUAAAUUGCCUGGAGGGCUGUGGGCUGUCUCAUUAAUACCUAGAGUGAAAACAAAAGGACCGUCCUUCCCUAGUUCCUAAACCGACUUCACUGAAUAAUUGCCAGCCUCUGCCAGAUAAACCAGUGUGAAGAAGCCAUGUGUCAGUCUAGGGGGCCCAUGUUUGUUUCCAGCCGCUUGCCCCAGCUGUGAGGGAACAACUGGAAUUGUUUGCAUAGCUCUCUCUCACCUUAGAAAAGGUGUUUCCCACCCUCCUGCCCUACCUCUUUGGGGCAGAUUUCAUGUUUUGGGAAAGGUUUUACUUUCUGGGUUCAGGGGUCUAGGUAGACGAGACUCAGUAAUUGCAUGCUAGGGUUUAUGCCAGUUUAUUCACUCAGCUUUCAUUUGACCAGUACAGAUAUUAAUACUUUCAUUCACCAUUUCACAGGCUCAUGAGAAAAAAGUUCACUAUAAAUCUAUAAUCUAUGAAGUGCUAUACAAAAUAUUUAUACAGUUUUCAUGCUGCACAAGAAAAAUCAGAUCAAUGAUACUUCUUGUUCAGUAAGAUAACUGUAUAUAUAUAUGUAUACAUAUAUUGGAUUUAACAUAUAUUUUAACAUAUUUAACAUGUAUUGGACUACCUGCCAUCUGGGGAGGGGGUGAGGGGAGAAGGAGGGGAAAAAUUUGGAACAAAAAGUUUUACAAGGUCAGUGUUGAAAAAUUACCCAUGCAUAUGUUUUCUAAAUAAAAAGCUUUAAUUAAAAAAAAAAAAAUCAGCUCAAAAAGGAAAAAAAAAAAACUGAGAAAGAAAACAAAAUCUAAGCUCUUUCUGAGAUAUUUCACAUUAUAUCUUUCUAGCUUCUCCCAAGAGUUUGUCUUUGAUAAGAAAACAAUAUGAAUACACUUUCCCACUCAAAAAAUAAAUUUAAGUUACUCAUUCUUCCAUGUUAUUAAAUAUCUGUAUGGACAAGGUUCUAUGGAGGGAAGUGUUUUAGUUGGAUAUGAAGAUUAGAUUUCUUCCUGCCCUUAAAGAAUUUAUUUUUUAAUGGAGAUAUAAUUUGGAUAAACCAAUAAAUAUUAUUAUUAUUAUUAUUAUUAUUACAAAUAAGUAUUAUUUCAUAAGGGCAGCUAGAUAGAUAGAUGAAGUGGAUGGAGACACUUGCUAGCUGUGUGAUCCCAGGCAAAUGACUUAAUCCUGCUUACCUCAGUUUCCUCAUCUGAAAAAUGAGCUGGAGACAGAAAUGCCAAACCACCGCAAUGUCUUUGCCCAGAGAACACAAAGAGUCAGACAGGACCAAACAACAGCAACAACAACAUUAUUGGAUAAACAAAUAAGUAUCAUUUGAAUUGGAAAAGGCUGCAUCCCAGUAGAGGACUAGAAUAUUAUGAUUCAUCUGUUUAGCCAACAUAUAUGAUUUUUUUUUCUUUUUUUUUUUAAUUAAAGCUUUUUAUUUUCAAAACAUAUGCAUGGAUAGUUUUCUAUAUCAACACUUGCAAAACCUUGUGUUCC